UCCUUGACCUGAUGCUGUAGGGCUUGGCAACUCUUGUGAAAUUUCAUAGAUCUCGUCGCUUACUGGGA
ensembl:miRNA